UACAGAGGGGGCAAGCGUUGUUCGGAAUUACUGGGCGUAAAGGGCGCGUAGGCGGCCGCCUAAGUCAGACGUGAAAUCCCUCGGCUCAACCGGGGAACUGCGUCUGAUACUGGGUGGCUUGAAUUCGGGAGAGGGAUGCGGAAUUCCAGGUGUAGCGGUGAAAUGCGUAGAUAUCUGGAGGAACACCGGUGGCGAAGGCGGCAUCCUGGACCGGUAUUGACGCUGAGGCGCGAAAGCUAGGGGAGCAAACGGG
rnacentral:rRNA from 1 species